AAGGGAGAGGAUAAGGUAGAAAUCUACCCUCGGGACGGGGAUAGCUGCGGGAAACUGCUGGUAAUACCCGAUAAUAUCUUUGGAUCAAAGGUGUGAUUCCGCCUGGGGAUGAGUCUACUUCCUAUUAGCUAGUUGGCAGGGUAAUGGCCUACCAAGGCAACGAUGGGUAGCGGGUGUGAGAGCAUGACCCGCCUCACUGGGACUGAGAACUGCCCAGACACCUACGGGUGGCUGCAGUCGAGAAUCUUCGGCAAUGGGCGCAAGCCUGACCGAGCGACGCCGCGUGCGGGAUGAAGGCCCUCGGGUUGUAAACCGCUGUCGUAGGGGAACAAAUGUAAGUGGGUUCUCCCAUUUACUUGAGUGAUCCUAGGAGGAAGGGGAGGCUAAGCUCGCGCCAGCAGCCGCGGUAAGACGAGCUCCCCGAACGUUAUUCGGUAUUACUGGGCUUAAAGAGUUCGUAGGCGGCCCGACAGGUGAGGUGUGAAAUCCCUCGGCUCAACCGAGGAACUGCGCUUCAAACCGUCAGGCUUGAGGGAGAUAGAGGUGAGCGGAACAGAUGGUGGAGCGGUGAAAUGCGUUGA
rnacentral:rRNA from 1 species